UACAGAGACUGCAAGCGUUAUUCGGAUUCACUGGGCGUAAAGGGUGCGUAGGUGGCAUGGCCAGUUUGAUGUGAAAGCUCAGGGCUUAACCCUGAAAUGGCAUUGAAUACUGCUGUGCUGGAGGUUUGGAGGGGGGACUGGAAUUCUUGGUGUAGCAGUGAAAUGCGUAGAUAUCAAGAGGAACACCAGUGGCGAAGGCGAGUCCCUGGACAACACCUGACACUGAGGCACGAAAGCUAGGGGAGCAAACAGG
rnacentral:rRNA from 1 species